UACGUAGGGGGCUAGCGUUGUCCGGAAUCAUUGGGCGUAAAGCGCGUGUAGGCGGCCCGGUAAGUCCGCUCUGAAAGUCGGGGGCUCAACCCUCGGAUGCGGGUGGAUACUGUCGGGCUUGAGUGCGGAAGAGGCGAGUGGAAUUCCUGGUGUAGCAGUGAAAUGCGCAGAUAUCAGGAAGAACACCCGUGGCGAAGGCGGCUCUCUGGGCCGAUACUGACGCUGAGGAGCGAAAGCGUGGGGAGCAAACAGG
rnacentral:rRNA from 1 species